GGGCGUGUGGCGCAGCUUGGAAGCGCGCUUCUUUGGCUAAGAAGAGGCCCCGAGUUCAAAUCUCGGCACGUCCACCA
rnacentral:tRNA from 2 species